CGCGGCCUAUCAGCUUGUUGGUGGGGUAGUGGCUUACCAAGGCUUUGACGGGUAGCCGGCCUGAGAGGGUGACCGGCCACAUUGGGACUGAGAUACGGCCCAGACUCCUACGGGAGGCAGCAGUGGGGAAUAUUGCACAAUGGGCGGAAGCCUGAUGCAGCAACGUCGCGUGCGGGAUGACGGCCUUCGGGUUGCAAACCGCUUUCGCCUGUGACGAAGCGUGAGUGACGGUAAUGGGUAAAGAAGCACCGGCUAACUACGUGCCAGCAGCCGCGGUGAUACGUAGGGUGCGAGCGUUGUCCGGAUUUAUUGGGCGUAAAGGGCUCGUAGGUGGUUGAUCGCGUCGGAAGUGUAAUCUUGGGGCUUAACCCUGAGCGUGCUUUCGAUACGGGUUGACUUGAGGAAGGUAGGGGAGAAUGGAAUUCCUGGUGGAGCGGUGGAAUGCGCAGAUAUCAGGAGGAACACCAGUGGCGAAGGCGGUUCUCUGGGCCUUUCCUGACGCUGAGGAGCGAAAGCGUGGGGAGCGAACAGGCUUAGAUACCCUGGUAGUCCACGCUGUAAACGGUGGGUACUAGGUGUGGGGUCCAUUCCACGGGUUCCGUGCCGUAGCUAACGCUUUAAGUACCCCGCCUGGGGA
rnacentral:rRNA from 1 species